UCCUGAUCUUAAUUAAUAAAAAUAAUAUUAAUUAGAGAUAAUUAUUGGGGUUAAUUUAAAGGAUAAGUGACCAAAAAUGUGGAAAAGUAAUUAGAGGACAAUACUCUUUGAUUUAAAGAUGAAGGGCAUAAUGACCAUGAUGUUGGGAGAGGAUGUGAAUGAGAGUGGUUAUGAGAAGGGCGGGAUGGUAAUUGAGGAUCUAUUGCUAUAUAAAUCACAAACCUUUGUCCAUUUCACUUCCUGUUUUAAUUUUACUGAGAAUAUACUCCUCACCUCAUUUAUCUAUCUCUCUCUCACGCAGAAACAUAACCUUUCCCUUUCUCUUUUCUGUCUCACAAACUCACCAUCAUUGUCAACAACCCCAAGGUCACUACACUUGCCAUUAAUUCACCACUUGAGAAAGUCAGAACAACAAACUUAACUCUCCUUUUCUCUCUCGCCUCAGUCCCUCAAAAUUGAUGGUAAAUCCCUCACCUUGAAUCAAUGAAAGGAAAACCCAUUGCAUGUGUGUUUAUGUUCAAAUUCAAGCUCUUGCUGAUUAGGAAUAGAGGUGAGAAUAAUGAAAUUAGUUCCUUUUCCAUCCUUCUCUGUUCUCAUUAAGUUUUCAAAACUAAACCCUUAUGUAUUCUUUGUUGUGGCUGCAUGUGAGGAAUUGUUGUUUUGAACCUAUGCAUAAAUGUUGGGAGCUGCAAAUUGAGUGAAACAGGGAUUGGAAGACCCUUUAAUGGGUUCGAAGAAUUGGGAGAGCUCAUAGCUAGCCUUUUUGCCUCUUUGGUGGUUAUUGGCACUUUAAGUUUCGUGAAAUUUGGAUCAGUAUUGAAGCCGGUAGAUGCUUCUGAAGUCAGGGCACUGAUGCUGUCAAAAUUCUGAUUUUGAGACUGCUGGUUUGUGCUUCAAGAGGCACGAAAGGAUGUUCGAGAACGUACGGAACAACUCAGUGACGCUAGAAAUAUCAGGUGGGUUUGUUUAAGUAGAGACAUGGCAACCAUAAGUCUAAAACAUAGGAUUUUAAUUUAUUUUCAUGUUGGGAUAUGAUUAGUAACCUAGAUAACUCAUAAAUGGAUUAAUUAUGAAAUUGGACUUAAUUCCCCAUUGCAUGUGACUGUGUUGGUAGUAUCUAUGAUGGUUAAGGUGUUAUAAAUGAUUAGAGACAAUUAGGGACCGUUUUAGAACUCUGUUUAUUGAUUUUGCAGUUUUGCACGAAAACUUGCAUUGGUGCAAGGCUUGGUUGAAUCGGUUCAACCAACUCAGAACAAGUACAAUGGGUAAAACUGGGCCUGUUGAGUCGGUGCGUUAUAAUGAUGAACCGGUGCAAGAGCUUCUAGAGUUACAGGUUGGAAAUUCUGGGCAAAUUGUACCGGUUCGAGCAGGGCUUGAGUCAGUGCAAGAAUCCUAGGAAAACAAAAUAGUUUCUAAGUAUUUAUGAACCGGUGCAAGAAGAGUUUGAGCUGGUGCAAAUGGUAAGUUUGCACCGGUGCAAGCCAACUUUGAAUCGGUGCAUAAAUCUUAGAGUGGUCCCUAUGGAGUCCAAAGGCACUGAUGCACCAGGGCAAGUUAAUCGGUGCAUCGUGACAAAACAGUUUGAAAAGCUUGAGUACUUAACCAUCAUGAAUAGAACUGAACGUACAUGCUUUAAAACAUGAGUAUAGGUAGAAACAUGAAUUAAAAACCUAUGCAUGGAUCUAUUUGAUCACUUAGGACUUCCCGGGAUGGGUUGUUAUGUUAAGUUAAUUAAUUAGAGUAGUUGAUCAAUUAGUGGUUAAUUCCCAGACCACUUAUUAGUAUAGCAUUAUGCUAUGAGAGGUUUCCGUACAUUAGUAGGGAAUCCGUUAAGUUAUGUAAUUAAUGUGAGCAAGACCAACGUGGCAUAGCUAUGUCACAACGGGUAGUGGAGAACAUCCUAAGAGGAGUACAUCCUUAGUGGACCUUUCGAGAUAUACUCACCUCGGAAGCUUCCCGUAAAACGAACAAGAUAAUAUUUGUGUGAUACACUUUUAUUUAUAUUAUGUUAUUCUUUAAUGAAUAUAAGAUUAUUAGUGAUCAACUAUUUUCAGGACCCCGGUGUUAGUACACCAAGUAGAGGGUAGUAAGAAACUCACUGAGGCUUAGUAGUCUCACCCCACAAUUAUUGAUUAUAGGUAGCAGGUUGUCGUUCGAGAAGCUGGAACUUGGACGGAUCAGCAAGGCUUAUUCAGCGGUUAUCUGUUUUAGACUCAAGGAAGAUUUUGUAUAGGAUUAUGCCAUAUGUACAUGUAUUUGUCAGUUAUCAUGGUUCUAAUGUAAACUUAUUAACGGUUACAUUAUGAAAGCUUAUUCAGUUUAAUUAAAUCAUGUAUAUUUGGUAUUUCCUUCAGACUACUUGUGUAAAAAAUCAGUUUUAUUUCCGAAAUUUUAAUGUUUCCCGAUUCAGUUAUGCAUGCUCCUAUUGAUAUUCUAGAUAAAUCAAUAUGGGGUGUUAUA
rnacentral:lncRNA from 1 species